rnacentral:misc_RNA from 1 species
AAGUAUUCAUACUUUUGCUUCUUUUAUUAUUGUUUGCAUCAUCAUUUUCAUUAUCAUUUCUAUUGUUAUCUAGUCAUAAAUUAAUUUAUCUAGACAAGUGUUGCAAGUCUAUUCAAGCAAAAAAUUCUUUUUGCAGCUCUAGCUUUUUCUUUGAUAUUCAAGUUGUUCCAAGUCAGCCAUUUAAUAAUACCUUAGUAAUUCUACGUAUAUAUGAUAUUUCACAUCUUAACGCAACUAAUACAUGAUAGUUUUCUUUUAGGCUACAUCCUUAUUUGGUCUCAUUGGAUUGUAUUGCAGCAUUACUGAAAUGACAUUUUUAUUGUUAGGUUAUCUUGUAUGUUGGAAUAUUAUCAUAACAUGUUAUCCAAUGAAGGUUUUAGAUUCAAUACCUUCACAUUUAUUUGGAUUCCACAUUUAUUUGGAUUCCAAAUUAUUGUAGAAAAUAAUUGAUUUUGAUAUCUAAAACAUGUUAUCAUAUUGUGUUAUCUAUAGGGAUAUUAGUAGACUAUAG